ACGAAGCGGUGACGUGGAGCAAACCUCNGAAAGCCAAUCUCAGUUCGAAUUGUAGGCUGCAACUCGCCUACAUGAAGUUGGAAUCGCUAGUAAUCGCGAAUCAGAAUGUCGCGGUGAAUACGUUCCCGGGUCUUGUACACACCGCCCGUCACACCACGAGAGUUUACAACACCCGAAGUCAGUGGCCUAACCGCAAGGAGGGAGCUGCCUAAGGUGGGGUAGAUGAUUGGGGUGAAGUCGUAACAAGGUAUC
rnacentral:rRNA from 1 species